UACAGAGGGUGCAAGCGUUGUUCGGAAUUAUUGGGCGUAAAGCGCGUGUAGGCGGUCUUGCAAGUCGGGUGUGAAAUCCCUUGGCUCAACUGAGGAAGUGCGCCCGAAACUGCAGGACUUGAGUACCGGAGAGGAUGGCGGAAUUCCCCAAGUAGAGGUGAAAUUCGUAGAUAUCGGGAGGAACACCGGUGGCGAAGGCGGCGACCUGGGUAGAUACUGACGCUGAGGAGCGAAAGCCAGGGGAGCAAACGGG
rnacentral:rRNA from 1 species